AAGUUAACCUUGAACUGGCACCCACCUUACUUUACCUCUGGCCAAUUAACUUGUCCUCACCCAAGGUACACAUAAUUUGUUAAGCCUACCACUGUCUAUGUGGAACUUGCUCUGUAGAUCUGGCCUUGAACUCUUGAGACUGACUUGCCUCUGCCUCCUAAGUGCUGGAAUUAAAGGCAUGUGCUACUGCCACCACCAUCCAUGACAGUUUUUAAGUUUCACAAGAUUUUAGCAAAUUGCCCAGGCUUUAAUUUGCUCUGAUUGUAAUCCAGGCCACCACAUCACCAUGCCCACCCAGCACUAUAUUAUCACUAUGUAGUCCAGAUACUGGUAACCCAGGGGUAUGAAAGGAUUAUAUUUUUGAAUCUCCAGUUUUUGUGCUAGAGAGAAAGGUUACACCCAGGACAAUAGCCAGCCCUUAGACUGCAAUUAGAACGCCCUGGCCCUGACUUCUAAUCUCUGAUCCUCAUUUGAGUGGAUAAGCUGGCUAAUGUCACUUACUAUUGAGUAGGUAAAUAAAUUUUACAAUGUGAAUGUUCAAACUCCAGGAGGCUUCAUGGUUGGAGUAAGUUCAUUAGAAGGUGGUGGGUGUUUGAGGUUGGCUGGAGGCUCAUUAUAUAGGAACUUAUAGUGCUUCCCAUUUUGGGAAAGCAACUUAAUUUCAGCAGAAAGUACCUGGAGACCAAAUAUUCCGCCUCUUCAGUUGCUGGUGUCCUCAGGGUCUCAUCUUUGAUGAGAUCCACACCGAUGAAGAGUCCAGUGCCCCUAAAGGAGGUAAUAUCUGGUAGCAAUGGUCCUUGCCUUAUUCUGCCCUGACCUUAGCCACCCCAAUUUACCCUGGAGGGGGUGGUCUUGGUGUGGACUGGAAAUCUUAAGAAUCCUAGUUCCUUCUGGAGAAUGGAUGUAGACAUUUCCCCCGUGGCAGGAAGGUGGGACAGUGUUGUAGCAGGUGUUUUGGUUAGUGUGCACACCCCCAGAGCCUUACCUGACAUCUCCAAUGAUAGGGUGCUUGGCUUUCUGCUGGGUGAGGUGCUCCAGAAGGAAACUGCCCACAUUAGUGGCGUGAGCCUGGAGCUGUUCUGUUUUCAAGACAUCUAGGACUGCUAGCCCCACAGCACAGGAUACGGGGUUGCCACCAAACUGAGGUAGGGGAUAACAAUGUCAGAUGUUCUGCCAGUGGACUGUGAUCCCGUGGGAUUAUCAUAAAAGGACAAUUGGGAAGGCCACAGACCCACAAAGCCUUCAUACUUCGGGCUUUCUUAAACUGGUCUCUUGGAUGGGAUUGUCUUUAUGAACUCUGUUUGUCUUCCUGGGUCUUCAACUUAGCCAGGUAGCAAGAUACCUAGAGAGAACUGGUCUAGCCCUGUCUCCUUGCCUCUAGACACCAGGCAUGUCAGUGGUACAUGGGUAAACCCCCCUCCCAAAUCUUUUGAAAAGCUAAACAAGCCAAUGGACAAUGGUUUGGGGAUUUGACAGUGUUGGCACAUGCCUUCAAUACCUGCACUCAGAAAGGAGAUGCUUUUGGAUCUCUGAUUUUGAGGCCAGCCUGGUCUGCAGAUUUAAUUCCUGAAUGACAGCUAAGGCUACACAGAGAAACCCUGUCUUAAAAGGGAAAGAAGUAGGACCUAGUGAGGGGCAAGCAUUUAAUGUCGGCAACAUUCAAGAGGCAGAGGCAGGUGGCUGGUCCACAUAGGUCCAGCCCAAACAGUUUUUAGUGAGACCCUGUUUCAAAAUGUGUGUGUGCAUAUAUUCCAUAUGGGUGCAGAAAUGAAAUGCCAACCUAACCUUGGAUGUGGAUGUUAACAGGAGACAUCCAUCUUGGUUUUGGGGACAAUCUCUCACUAGGACCUCGGGCUAUACUUAGAGACUAUGCUGGCUGUGUAGCAAGCCCAGGAACCCAGUCACUGCCUUCCUUGUUCUGAGAUUACAGGCCUGUGCCACAAAGCUUGGCUUUUUUUUGUUUUUUUUGUUUUUUUAAUAUGGGUUCUUGGUCCUCCUGUUUGCAGGGCAAACUGCUUUAUGGACUGAACUCUCUUGUCCUUCAUGGAUUUGUUUGAUUUUGUCUUUUGUGUGUUUGACUGUGUUAGGAAGGAGGAGAACAAGAUACAACCUAAGGGAUGUAGCUUAGUGGCAGAGUAUUUGGGCGUUAGCACUGCCCUGAUGUAUUAAGAUGUUUCUUGUGAUUCUGAAAUCAAACAAACCAAGGGCUUUGUACUUGCUAAACAUGUGCUGUACUACUGAGCUACAAUUUGAGCCUACAAACAUCAUUGUAGACAGAUAAAUAUAAACAUUUCCAUGCAUUGAACAGGAUGUUCAGUGCCCUGAAGUUAUUCAACUGUAUUGUAAGUGCCUCACAGCCAGGUUAGUAAGAUAGCUACUUUUACAUAGGAUUUUUUUUUUCUUUUGCGGUUAAGUAGUGAUUCCUUAAAGGAUAAGCAACAAUUACCCUCCUCCCCUCCCCCAAAUUUGACAAAUUGGAUCAUCUAAAAUGUAUUUUUUUUACCUUUAUUUAUUUAUUUUGAGGUAGGACUUCACUAGAACUCAUGUAGGCCAUCUACCUCUGCCUCCUCCUGAGUGCUGGAUUUAAAGGUAUGCACCACCAUACCUGGUUUCAUAUAAAACUGAUGGCCAGGGAGCUCUGUAAGAGCCAUGCAAGCCCAAUGAGUUUGAUUCCUGGAAUUAAAGUAAAAAGCCAAAUGUACCGAGUAGCAUGGUAGUGUAUGCUUUUAAUCCCAGAAUUUGGGAGGCAGAAGCAGGAAGAUCUGAGUUUGAAGCUGCCUGGUCUACAUAUUAAGUUCUAACAUAAAUCGGUCUCAAAAAC
rnacentral:lncRNA from 1 species